CGUCCCACGCAGGGGUACUCGCGGUUCGCGCCGCGUGUUGAGAGAGUCCCUUCGUACCAGUACGGAUAAUGCCGAUGCUGGGAGCGUAUUCCUCAAGCCG
rnacentral:ncRNA from 1 species